CCUUUGUGUUCGUUGUUUUUCUCCAGACAGAACUCCAGGGGUGUCAACAAUUGUGAUUUCAUCUAGCAAUGGAUGUGGCAUUUGUGCACAUUCAAAUUUUGAUAAGAAUGCCCCUCCAAAUGUUGUCAGGCCACUAAACGGCAUGUCUGCAUGAACAGCAACAGUGUUCCCAGGUAUACUCCUCUCAUCAGAUCCAGACAUUACAACAACGAAUCUAUCAGUUGUAGGCUCUGGUCCAAUGUGAGCUCCUGGGUAAUUACAUCUAAGUAAAUGUUUUAUGAAUGUUGUUUUGCCAGUGGAAUACUGACCCAAAAGCAUAACCAUAGGCUUGGCAUCAA
rnacentral:misc_RNA from 1 species